GAUGAACGCUGGCGGCGUGCCUAAUACAUGCAAGUCGAGCGAACGGACGAGAAGCUUGCUUCUCUGAUGUUAGCGGCGGACGGGUGAGUAACACGUGGAUAACCUACCUAUAAGACUGGGAUAACUUCGGGAAACCGGAGCUAAUACCGGAUAAUAUUUUGAACCGCAUGGUUCAAAAGUGAAAGACGGUCUUGCUGUCACUUAUAGAUGGAUCCGCGCUGCAUGAGCUAGUUGGUAAGGUAACGGCUUACCAAGGCAACGAUGCAUAGCCGACCUGAGAGGGUGAUCGGCCACACUGGAACUGAGACACGGGCCAGACUCCUACGGGAGGCAGCAGUAGGGAAUCUUCCGCAAUGGGCGAAAGCCUGACGGAGCAACGCCGCGUGAGUGAUGAAGGUCUUCGGAUCGUAAAACUCUGUUAUUAGGGAAGAACAUAUGUGUAAGUAACUGUGCACAUCUUGACGGUACCUAAUCAGAAAGCCACGGCUAACUACGUG
rnacentral:rRNA from 1 species